UUAAUUUUUGCAGAUGCAGAAAGACUGUGAAGAUAAACUUCAAAGGUUCUGAUGACUGUCUCACUUUCUCCUAGGGAACUUAUGAACACCAUUAUAACAUUUUGCCCUUAUUGAAUAUGGUCAGAAUGUCCCAUAAGGUGGCAUGAGACAGGGAAGGUGGCCUCCAUUCGUCCCCUCUGGCAUACUGGAACGGGUAGACUGCCCAUAAGCCAAAUCUGGUUGCCUUCUCCUACUAUUCCGUUCAGAGAAUAUGGGUUAUGUUCUCCCUGCUGCCAAAAGCCAACUCAAACUUUAUGUACAUCCAUGAUCGCCGGCUUGAGACUUAGCUGACACGUGGAGCUUACAUUCACUUUCUGAAAAGGGAUUAAAUUCUUCUCAUGGACUAAUGUUUCAGGGCUGCUCCACCAGCGAGUAGGCUGGGGUGCACUAAAAACUGGGAGGGGACACCGCCAGGAGCACUGACCCCAACUGACCAAACGGAUGACCCAUGCCAUAUGACGUCAUACCCAGCAAUAAACCUGGGGGAAAGAGGAGGAAGGAGGGACAUUUGGAGUUAUGGAGUUUGUCUUCCCAAGGAACCGUUAUGGGAGAUGAA